GAGUACGAUCGCAAGGUUGAAACUCAAAGGAAUUGACGGGGGCCCGCACAAGCGGUGGAGCAUGUGGUUUAAUUUGACGCAACGCGAAGAACCUUACCAGGGCUUGACAUCUAUCUGAAGUAUAUUAGAGAUAGUAUAUUUCCUUCGGGACAGAUAGACAGGUGGUGCAUGGUUGUCGUCAGCUCGUGUCGUGAGAUGUUGGGUUAAGUCCCGCAACGAGCGCAACCCUUAUUCUUAGUUGCCAGCAUUUAAGGUGGGCACUCUAGGGAGACUGCCGGUGACAAACCGGAGGAAGGUGGGGAUGACGUCAAAUCAUCAUGCCCUUUAUGUCCUGGGCUACACACGUGCUACAAUGGCCGGUACAACGAGUUGCGAGACAGCGAUGUUUAGCCAAUCUCUUAAAGCCGGUCUCAGUUCGGAUUGCAGGCUGCAACUCGCCUGCAUGAAGUCGGAAUCGCUAGUAAUCGCGAAUCAGCACGUCGCGGUGAAUACGUUCCCGGGCCUUGUACACACCGCCCGUCACACCACGAAAGCCAGCAACACCCGAAGCCGGUGGCUUAACCGUAAGGAAAGAGCCGUCGAAGGUGGGGUUGGUGAUUGGGGUGAAGUCGUAACAAGGUAACCAAGGGCGAA
rnacentral:rRNA from 1 species